rnacentral:rRNA from 1 species
GAUGAACGCUGGCGGCGUGCUUAACACAUGCAAGUCGAACGGAAAGGCUCCUGCUUGCAGGGGUACUCGAGUGGCGAACGGGUGAGUAACACGUGGGUGAUCUGCCCUGCACUUCGGGAUAAGCCUGGGAAACUGGGUCUAAUACCGGAUAGGACGAUGGUUUGGAUGCCAUUGUGGAAAGUUUUUCGGUGUGGGAUGAGCUCGCGGCCUAUCAGCUUGUUGGUGGGGUAAUGGCCUACCAAGGCGUCGACGGGUAGCCGGCCUGGGAGGGUGUACGGCCACAAUGGGAAUGAGAUACGGGCCAGACUCCUACGGGAGGCCGGAGUUGGGAAUAUUGCACAAAGGGGGGAAGGCUGAUGCAGCGACGGCGCGGGGGGGAUGACGGCCUUCGGGUUGUAAACUCCUUUCGCUAGGGACGAAGCGCAAGUGACGGUACCUGGAGAAGAAGCACCGGCUAACUACGUG